AAUAUUGCGCAAUGGAGGGAACUCUGACGCAGCGACGCCGCGUGUGCGAUGAAGGUCUUCGGAUCGUAAAGCUCUGUCCUUGGGGAAGAAGGUCUUCGGACUUGACGGUACCUAAGGAGGUAGCCCCGGCUAACUACGUGCCACAACCCGCGGUAAUACGUAGGGGGCAAGCGUUGUCCGGAAUUAUUGGGCGUAAAGGGUGCGUUGGCGGCCUUUUAAGUAAGAUGGGAAAGCCCACGGCUUAACCGUGGGACUGCAUUUGAAACUGGAGGGCUUGAGUAUCGGAGAGGGUAGUGGAAUUCCCAGUGUAGCGGUGGAAUGCGUAGAUAUUGGGAGGAACGCCAGUGGCGAAGGCGACUACCUGGACGAAAACUGACGCUGAGGCACGAAAGCUAGGGGAGCAAACA
rnacentral:rRNA from 1 species